AACGCGUAUGCAAUCUGCCUUGUACAGAGGGAUAGCCCAGAGAAAUUUGGAUUAAUACCUCAUAGUAUUAUUGAAUGGCAUCAUUUAAUAAUUAAAGUUCCAACGGUACAAGAUGAGCAUGCGUCCUAUUAGCUAGUUGGUGUGGUAACGGCAUACCAAGGCUACGAUAGGUAGGGGUCCUGAGAGGGAGAUCCCCCACACUGGUACUGAGACACGGACCAGACUCCUACGGGAGGCAGCAGUGAGGAAUUUUGGACAAUGGGCGCAAGCCUGAUCCAGCCAUGCCGCGUGAGUGAAGAAGGCCUUCGGGUUGUAAAGCUCUUUUGUCCGGGAGCAAAACCUGCCCACUAAUACUGGGCCGGGAUGAGAGUACCGGAAGAAUAAGCACCGGCUA
rnacentral:rRNA from 1 species